CGAACGGGUGAGUAAUACAUCGGAACGUGCCCAGUCGUGGGGGAUAACUACUCGAAAGAGUAGCUAAUACCGCAUACGAUCUGAGGAUGAAAGCGGGGGACCUUCGGGCCUCGCGCGAUUGGAGCGGCCGAUGGCAGAUUAGGUAGUUGGUGGGAUAAAAGCUUACCAAGCCGACGAUCUGUAGCUGGUCUGAGAGGACGACCAGCCACNCUGGGACUGAGACACGGCCCAGACUCCUACGGGAGGCAGCAGC
rnacentral:rRNA from 1 species